GCCAGUAGUCAUAUGCUUGUCUCAAAGACUAAGCCAUGCAUGUCUAAGUAUAAGUAUUAUACAGCGAAACUGCGAAUGGCUCAUUAAAACAGUUAUAAUUUAUUUGAUAAUCGAAUUUACAUGGAUAACCGUGGUAAUUCUAGAGCUAAUACAUGCUGGAGUGCCCGACUUUUCGGAAGGGCGGUAUUUAUUAGAUAACAAGCCAAUAUUCCUCUGGUCUAUUGUGGUGAUUCAUAAUAACUGAUCGAAUCGCAUGGUCUUUGACCGCGAUAAGUCAUUCAAGUUUCUGCCCCAUCAGCUUUCGAUGGUAGUGUAUUGGACUACCAUGGCGUUUACGGGUAACGGAGGAUUAGGGUUCGAUUCCGGAGAGGGAGCCUGAGAAACGGCUACCACAUCUAAGGAAGGCAGCAGGCGCGUAAAUUACCCAAUCCCGACUCGGGGAGGUAGUGACAAGAAAUAACGGACCGAGGCCUUCGGGCUUCGGGAUUGCAAUGAGCCGAAUUUACACCCCUUAGC
rnacentral:rRNA from 1 species